AGUGAACGCUGGCGGUAGGCCUAACACAUGCAAGUCGAACGGCAGCACAGUAAGAGCUUGCUCUUACGGGUGGCGAGUGGCGGACGGGUGAGGAAUACAUCGGAAUCUACUUUUUCGUGGGGGAUAACGUAGGGAAACUUACGCUAAUACCGCAUACGACCUACGGGUGAAAGCAGGGGAUCUUCGGACCUUGCGCGAUUGAAUGAGCCGAUGUCGGAUUAGCUAGUUGGCGGGGUAAAGGCCCACCAAGGCGACGAUCCGUAGCUGGUCUGAGAGGAUGAUCAGCCACACUGGAACUGAGACACGGUCCAGACUCCUACGGGAGGCAGCAGUGGGGAAUAUUGGACAAUGGGCGCAAGCUUGAUCCAGCCAUACCGCGUGGGUGAAGAAGGCCUUCGGGUUGUAAAGCCCUCUUGUUGGGAAAGAAAAGCAGCAGGUUAAUACCCCGCUGUUCUGACGGUACCCAAAGAAUAAGCACCGGCUAACUUCGUG
rnacentral:rRNA from 1 species